rnacentral:tRNA from 1 species
GCCCUUGUGACGAAACUGGCAAACGUGCUGGUCUUAGAAACCAGAUUUUGUGUGUACCCUUCGGGAACGCUAACGCGAACGACUCCCACCAAGGGUA